AGGAGAUCUCCAAAUUAAACCAAUUAUCGGAUCUAGGGAAUAAUCUAGGCGAUAACAACGGUUUUCACACCGUAGUAGAAUUUAAAAUGGCUUUUAAUAAGAAACUAUUCACCGUUUAUAAAUAUGUGAUACAUUAGAAUGUUCAGAAAAAUAAUAUUUACCGUAUGGCUAUUUUAAAAUUUUCCGAAAAGAAUAAAAUAAAAAGUUUCUAUUUAAUUUAAUUUAAUUAGACUAAG